GACGAACGCUGGCGGUGUGCUUAACACAUGCAAGUCGAACGGAAAGGCCCUGCUUCUGUCUGUUGCUCGAGUGGCGAACGGGUGAGUAACACGUGAGUAACCUGCCCUUGCCUUAGGGGUAAAUUCAGGAAACUGGGGCUAAUACCGGCUAGGAGCUCCUGCUGCAUGGCGGGGGUUGGAGAGUUUCGGCGGUCGGGGAUGGACUCGCGUGUUAUCAGCUUGUUGGUUGGGUAGUGGCUUACCAAGGCAUUGACGGGUAGCCGGCCUGAGAGGGUGACCGGCCACAUUAGGACUGUGAUACGGCACGGACUCCUACGGGAGACAGCAGUGUGGAAUCUUGCAUAAUGGGCGCAAGCCUGGUGCAGCAUCGCCGCGUGCUGGAUGACAGCCUUCUGGUUGUAAACCGCUUUCGCCUGUACCGAAGCGUGAGUGACGGUAAUGGGUGAAGAAGCACCGGCUAACUACGUG
rnacentral:rRNA from 1 species